GUGCAGCAGUCGAGAAUUUUUCUCAAUGGGGGCAACCCUGAAGGAGCGACGCCGCGUGGAGGAUGAAGGCUUUCGGGUUGUAAACUCCUGUCAUUUGAGAACAAGUGGCCGAACCUAACUACUUCGGCCUUGAUAGUAUCAGAAGAGGAAGGGACGGCUAACUCUGUGCCAGCAGCCGCGGUAAUACAGAGGUCCCAAGCGUUGUUCGGAUUCAUUGGGCGUAAAGGGUGCGUAGGUGGCGCCGUCAGUGGGGUGUGAAAUUUCGGAGCUUAACUCCGAAACUGCAUUCCAUACUGCGGUGCUUGAGGACUGGAGAGGAGACUGGAAUUUACGGUGUAGCAGUGAAAUGCGUAGAGAUCGUAAGGAAGACCAGUGGCGAAGGCGGGUCUCUGGACAGUUCCUGACACUGAGGCACGAAGGCCAGGGGAGCGAAACGGGAUUAGAUACCCGCGUAGU
rnacentral:rRNA from 1 species